CGUCAGGCUGGGUCUGGUGGAGUUUGUGGAAGGGGGAAUGCGGCGGGUAGGUGUCGCCAUGGGCGUCGCAGGGCGUGAUGAGUAAUAAGGCCCGUGCGGCGCUGGCGCGGUGGGGCUGGCAGGGACCCACGCAGCCUCUCCCGGGCCGAGAAGCUGCCCCCCCUCACCUGCUGUAGCCUCGAGGAUGAGGGAUGCUUUCAGCAACUGCCUACAAUGUCAACAACGAAAACUCUGCUGAGUGUUAGGCGUUACCAGGAAACAAAUUCUGCAUGGGAUUACACGACAGUUACUUUCUUUGAAGAAGCAACUGUCUGAAAAUGUCCCAGGUCCGAGCUUCGUCUCAUGCUCCCUCUAGGACCUCCUGGCUCCAAAUCCCCAUUUUCCCCCCAGUCCUAUUAGAGUGUUGGGGCAAUGGAACUGGUCCCGUCUGCGCGUGGCCCCUGCCGGGUCUGUCCGGCGAGGUUUGUAGCCAUCUCAUUAGUGACGUUGACACCAGAGCCAGUGCCGGGUUGGGCCUCCGAGGACGUCUGUUCACACACAGUGCUUUGGCUGGUGAUUUUCCUCUUCUUGGUGUUAGUUCAUGCAACAAAGUUAAGCACUAUUAAAAACAUACUUUUUCUCUC